GGGUGAGUAACCCGUGGGGAAUCUGCCUUUGAGCGGGGGACAACAUUUGGAAACGAAUGCUAAUACCGCAUAAAAACUUUAAACACAAGUUUUAAGUUUGAAAGAUGCAAUUGCAUCACUCAAAGAUGAUCCCGCGUUGUAUUAGCUAGUUGGUGAGGUAAAGGCUCACCAAGGCGAUGAUACAUAGCCGACCUGAGAGGGUGAUCGGCCACAUUGGGACUGAGACACGGCCCAAACUCCUACGGGAGGCAGCAGUAGGGAAUCUUCGGCAAUGGACGAAAGUCUGACCGAGCAACGCCGCGUGAGUGAAGAAGGUUUUCGGAUCGUAAAACUCUGUUGGUAGAGAAGAACGUUGGUGAGAGUGGAAAGCUCAUCAAGUGACGGUAACUACCCAGAAAGGGACGGCUAACUACGUGCCAGCAGCCGCGGUAAUACGUAGGUCCCGAGCGUUGUCCGGAUUUAUUGGGCGUAAAGCGAGCGCAGGUGGUUUAUUAAGUCUGGUGUAAAAGGCAGUGGCUCAACCAUUGUAUGCAUUGGAAACUGGUAGACUUGAGUGCGGGAGAGGAGAGUGGAAUUCCAUGUGUAGCGGUGAAAUGCGUAGAUAUAUGGAGGAACACCGGUGGCGAAAGCGGCUCUCUGGCCUGUAACUGACACUGAGGCUCGAAAGCGUGGGGAGCAAAC
rnacentral:rRNA from 1 species